AGGGGACGUUCCUCAGUUUCAAGAAUAAUCCAAGUAGUUAUUUCUCUCAUGAUCUACUCAUAUUGCAAUUUUUUGAUCGAUAAAAUGAUGCCAUUCAUUGCAGCUUUCUCCGUAUUAGUUUGCUUUCUAGACUUGGUACGCCAAUGAAGGAUUAUUUCUUCCAGCAGGCUUUCAUCAUAGGCUAUUCUCAUGUGGGACUAAUACAAAAGGAGAAUCAAACCUUGCUGAAUGGGAUUCCGGAGAAAUCAAGAAAUAUGAUGGUCUUGGGAAGCAGUCUGAGGGGGUUGUGCAGUUUGAUACAAUGAAGAGCCAGUUCUUGGCUGUUGGUGAUGAGUCCCAAAUCAAAUUCUGGGAUAUGGACAAGCUUGACAUGUUGACAGCUAUUGACGCAUGAGAGGGUGGAUUACAGGCUUCUCCUUGCAUUCGAUCCAACAAGGAAGGGGUAUUGCUAGCUGUAUCAACAAGUGAUAAUGGUAUCAAAAUGCUUGCAAAUGUUGAUGGUGUACGGCUGCUUCGUUCUGUUGAAAGUUGUGCUGCUUAUGCAGCAAACAGCUUGAGAGUGUCUCCGGCAUUACCGUUUCAAAGCUCGAUCGUGGGUGUAUCCGGAUGUCACUGCAUCUCGUCCAAUACCGACUUAAACAUAUGAAACAUUCCCGACACGCCGAGCCGUCACACCAUGUUUGAUAUAUAAGUUAAUUGAAUGAAUUAGCACCGUCAAAUCCCACAUAAUUCAAAUUCAAAUUCCACAUAAUUCAAUGAUUACAACUCUAAUUAUACAUAGAAAUAUAAUUAGAGUCUUAGUUAUAUGUGGCCACAAAGUAGCCAAAAUACAACCACAGAACCACAAUGACCCCACUUAUAGUUAUCAUCCAUAAAGUACAACACGCAUGAACACCGUCAUUUUAGGUCGGUGACAUUAAUAGCUGAAACUAAUUAAUCUUCACACUUAGCACGUGGAUUUCACCGUAUGUUUUUGUCUUCGACCUUUGCAUAGUUGUCUCAUUGAGUCAUGGUAUUUUCCUGCUCCCUUCUCAAAAUCUCAACCAUAAUUAGGCGUGCGUUUUCUUUAUAAGAAUUAGGUAUAAAGUAUUUCUAAUAUAGAGAGUACUACUAUUUUAAGUCAUCUAUAACAUAUGUCAUCUCUCUAUUUUUGUAAUUUAUUGUUGUCUAUACAGAGAUAUGAUGCACAACAUUUAUUGAGCAUAAAAUUCCAACGAAUUUUGAUACCUAUACAUAGUAUAUUAUUGAGCAUUUAGUCCUGUUCCUUGACAUGCUAUAUAUUCCAAGUCCAUAGGCUAUAUUGGAUCCUAUAUCACGUAAUUAAUAAGUCUAACCAACUCAUUAAUGAUACUUCCUUUUUCUAUAAGAUAAGAUCAUAUAUAUAUAGAAAGACUUACAUUUCAAGAAAGGAAAACUCGAUUCUCAUAAACAUGGAUGCAAUUUUCACGAUGAGUUGGUAGUUUCACUGUGAUAAUAUGAUCUGGCUAUGCAACAAAACACAUUUUU